UGGAUUGGAGGUGUUUAGAGGCCGAUACAGAAGUGGCUCUGAGCUCUUUAGAGUUGUGAAUAAACUCAAAGCAGCCAAGCAGAGAAGCCAGUCAAUGUCUGCUGGGGAUGGAGAGUAAAAUAGGAAGCCUGGAUUAUCGAAAAACAGAGUCAGGUGAAAAAAAAAGAACGCCGUUCUACUCGUUCAGAUUCUGUAGCUGGGCACAAACACUGUCUCCACCACACAACGGAGUCUGAGGAGGAGGAGGAGACCGAGACAUCAGUCUAACAUCCCACGCCAGGCAGCAAACUGGUCAACAGAGAGAGAGAGUCAGAAGUGGAGACUGGUACUGUAUUAGUAAUAAUCUCAAUUCUUACUGGCUGGGAGGAGAUCCGAGUCAGCAGAGGCCACUGGACAACUAGAGACGGAUCAUCCUCCCACACACUAUCAGCCACCUAACCUCAGUUCCACACAACUCUCAUGUGAGGACUUGAGUCAGCAAGACAAUGAGGU